CCAAGGAGUCUAACAUGUACGCGAGUCAUGGGGUUCUCGCUCGAGAAACCUACAAGGCGCAAUGAGAGUGAAGGUGCGUGCCGUCCGCCUCUCUUUUGAGGUGGACCACGUCGCCGUGGCAGGAUCCCGUCUAGCCCCUGCGCGGGCGGGGCGCACUGCCGGCCCGUCUCGACUGCGUGCCAUUCCGACUCGCUCGGGGAGGUAUCGUCAGUGAGGCGGAGCAUGAGCGCACACGUUGGGACCCGAAAGAUGGUGAACUAUGCUUGAGUAGGACGAAGCCAGAGGAAACUCUGGUGGAGGUCCGCAGCGAUUCUGACGUGCAAAUCGAUCGUCAAACUUGGGUAUAGGGGCGAAAGACUAAUCGAACCAUCUA
rnacentral:rRNA from 1 species